CACAACCACCUUCCUAAUGGAGGAGCAGAUCCACUUUCAUGUUCUCACUCAUCUUUAUCCCAAUUGCAGGUUGGAUAAGAAUUUUCUAACUUAUGAUAUCAUUACUUGCUGGCUGUUUAUAGGAUUUCGGGUGAUUUACAGAUUGAUUUGGGAAUCGGCCAGGGAACUAAGAGGCAAAGGAUGGGUGUGAUGAAUGAUGUCGCGUUCUCUCCUAGACCGAUUUUACAAUAUCGAUACGUUGACUAGGAGACAUGAAGCCUGUGGAGAGUCCUAGUUUUAUCACAUCUGGAUCUUCAACGAAUCUGAUAAGUGCUCGUCUCAAUGAAGUGGAAAGGAAUGACUUAUAAAGCUAGUUUUAGUGUUUAUAUAUGGAUUUCGAGUCCUUUCUUUAUUGAUGUUCUUGGGGAUUAAAACUAAACUUGAGUUUCUGUGUUCAUAUUUGAGGUCAUGUGUUCUAGCUAUCUUGAAAGAUUGGCUUGGUUGUGAAUGUUUAUAAUAUGCUUGUAAAGUAGAA